GACGGCGCGAAAAAUCGAAAGCAAAAAAAUUAAAAAUUGUUUUAGCAAUUUGUAAUGGUGUUGCCUUUAAGGUUGCUAAUAACCAGCAACCUAACUUCCACGGUUGUUCGCCCACAUAUUCACCCAACACUGCAGCAAGUAUAUGCUACUGUUACACCAUUACUGCGAAGAUCGAUUGUGUCAGACAUAUACGAGUAAAAUGUAAUAUAUAUAUUUCUGUAGUAAUGUCAGCUUAUACACCAGCCGCGUACGAUACCUGCUGGUUCCGUAAAAGUUGAAAUUUGUGGAGUAUGUGGAAACAUAGACAACAUGGCACGAGUUUGAAUGUAGACCUUGAAACUACAUGGCAACCAACAAAUAGAGUAUUGCCUAUGCUAGGCAGAGCUUUAAAGCGCCUAGCAUUGCACCCUAAAUGAAGGCAUCUUGUUACUUGUGUAUAUGAAUUUGAAAUAACGAACUGCAUUUGCUUUCGAAAAGAAUGUAUGUGUUUUUAAAGUACUUUUAGAAAUGGGACUUAAACGUCGCUCUACAGGUAGUAAAAAUAUAAACUGAAUGUGCUAACUUUUCUGACAGUAACAACGGUCUCUCAUAUGUUGUUGAUGUAAUUAUAUAAUACUAACGCAGCAUGCAGCAAAGAUGUUUGUAACAUCUUAAACUAAUAUUAAUAUAUAUAUGUAUAUAUGUCUGUCUGUCCGUUCGUGAAACAGAAUUAUGAACUUCAUACAACGGUUAAUAACUAACAAAAUAAGUCAGAAAAUAGGUGCGCAACUUUUAUUGAAUAAGUGUUAAAAUUAGAAAAAAAACGGUUCAGGAUUUCUGCUAAUUUCCAUUAUUCUGUUUGGCUUUUUUACCCUUGCAUUAUAAAUAAUGUAUAAUUAUUAAACAAUUAAAUUUUUUAAUAGAGUUUUGCUCAUAACUCUAAACAUUUCACACGCAUUUAAUAGUUACUAUUUGGGUAUAUCGUCACCUGCGAUGCAAACUAACGCCAUUUUCAUAAGUUUAGUGGAAUAAAAAAGUGUAUACAUAUAUAAAACACAUAUUGAAAUAAAAUUUUAAUUUCGGUUAUAAGUUGAAGAUUAAAAUUGUGUACAUGUAGGUAGUAUGAUGUAGUGUUUCGUAAUAAAUUAAAAAAUGUAUUUCGAAUUUUUUAUGUUACUUUGCUUUUCAUUUUAGGUGACGGUAUACAAUUUGCGAGUCUAAGUCCGAACUUAGCACUAUCAUUUUGGUUAUGAAGGUAUCAUAGCUAGAAGCUUUAUUUAGCUUUGUAUAGCUAUAUAUUGCGUACAAGAUGAAUUAUCAAAAUAUUUUGUAUAAACAAUAAAAUAAUAAUUAUACUAGUCCAAAGCACGCUGCAGCACCGCGAAUACGCGGUAGGUCAUCGUCAUUACCUGAGGUCGCCAACGAUAUAGGCUGAAAUCCUUUCGCGGUCAGUCGAGCUGGUUUCUGCGCACGUGCAAUUAUGUUAAAUAAUAAGGUUUUGUAUGUUUGUGAGCCGUUAUACCAACGGUUUUUGUAUGCACAUAGUGCUAAGUUUUCACUCUAAAAGUAUAAAAAUAAUUACGACACGCAUAAAAGUUCAUAACACUGUUAAAUACGUUACGGGUGCAAUAAAACUGCUUGCUGACUAUGGAAUUUUAGGUAAAACAUGUCAAAAUUUGUAGAUGUCUUACUAACUUAACUAAUUGUUUUAAUAAUUUAAAAUAUGUUAAUUGUUCGAAGCAGAAGCACCAUUACACCCGAUAACAGAAUAAUUACGAUUAUAGGAACUUACAAUUGUAAUCAGCUUCUGUCCAUAUUGACAUACCAUAAAGAAUUGGGCAACAGUAACGAAAAAGAAGCUGAGAAAAUUUAAAAAUCCGAAACCAAAGCCCUCCAAUUUCAGUUGAACAACAAUUAUGCAAAAUACGGCGCAGUUUGAUAUUAAUUUAAAUAAUAGAGUUGUUCCAAAAACUUCAUUUAGUUCGCUACAAAGACUGUAAAUUAAAUAAAUAUAAAAUUUUAAUUUUAAUAUUAAUACAUGUAUUAUAAAAAUAUAUUACCAUAAGUACUACUAGUACUCAUUCACAAACCGAGAAUUUACUAUGUUCAUAUGGUAUAAUGUAUAUUUGUUUACAGGCAUCAUAUUUUAUGAGAUUGAUUACAAAAUAAAAUAUGAAAUAUAACUUACUCCAACAUUAA